AUGGCGGAGGGGAAACACCCGGUCCCAUUCCGAACCCGGUAGUUAAGCCCUCCAGCGCCGAUGGUACUGCAUGGGAGACUGUGUGGGAGAGUAGGUCACCGCCGGAA
rnacentral:rRNA from 1 species